rnacentral:tRNA from 1 species
GCCGAGAUAGCUCAGUGGUAGAGCACUUCCAUGGUAAGGAAGGGGUCCAGGGUUCGAGUCCCUGUCUCGGCUCCA